AGUGAACGCUGGCGGUAGGCCUAACACAUGCAAGUCGAACGGCAGCACAGUAAGAGCUUGCUCUUACGGGUGGCGAGUGGCGGACGGGUGAGGAAUACAUCGGAAUCUACUUUUUCGUGGGGGAUAACGUAGGGAAACUUACGCUAAUACCGCAUACGACCUACGGGUGAAAGCAGGGGAUCUUCGGACCUUGCGCGACUGAAUGAGCCGAUGUCGGAUUAGCUAGUUGGCGGGGUAAAGGCCCACCAAGGCGACGAUCCGUAGCUGGUCUGAGAGGAUGAUCAGCCACACUGGAACUGAGACACGGUCCAGACUCCUACGGGAGGCAGCAGUGGGGAAUAUUCGACAAUGGGCGCAAGCCUGACCCAGCCAUACCGCGUGGGUGAAGAAGGCCUUCGGAUUGUAAAGCCCUUUUAUUAGGAAAGAAAAGCAGCAGGUUAAUACCCCGCUGUUCUGACGGUACCCAAAGAAUAAGCACCGGCUAACUUCGUG
rnacentral:rRNA from 1 species